rnacentral:rRNA from 1 species
UACUAAGGGGGCUAGCGUUGUUCGGAAUUACUGGGCGUAAAGCGCGCGCAGGCGGUCUUCCAAGUCAGUGGUGAAAGCCCGGAGCUCAACUCCGGAACUGCCAUUGAAACUGUAAGACUUGAGGAUGAGAGAGGUGAGUGGAAUUCCCAGUGUAGAGGUGAAAUUCGUAGAUAUUGGGAAGAACACCGGUGGCGAAGGCGGCUCACUGGCUCAUUUCUGACGCUCAGGCGCGACAGCGUGGGGAUCAAACAGG